rnacentral:rRNA from 1 species
AGCGAACGCUGGCGGCAGGCCUAACACAUGCAAGUCGAACGAAGUCUUCGGACUUAGUGGCGGACGGGUGAGUAACACGUGGGAACGUGCCUUUAGGUUCGGAAUAACUCAGGGAAACUUGUGCUAAUACCGAAUGUGCCCUUCGGGGGAAAGAUUUAUCGCCUUUAGAGCGGCCCGCGUCUGAUUAGCUAGUUGGUGAGGUAAAGGCUCACCAAGGCUACGAUCAGUAGCUGGUCUGAGAGGAUGACCAGCAACAUUGGGUCUGAGACACGGCCCAAACUCCUACGGGAGGCAGCAGUGGGGAAUCUUGCGCAAUGGGCGAAAGCCUGACGCAGCCAUGCCGCGUGGAUGAUGAAGGUCUUAGGAUUGUAAAAUCCUUUCACCGGUGAAGAUAAUGACUGUAGCCGGAGAAGAAGCCCCGGCUAACUUCGUGCCAGCCGCCGCGGUAACAC